ensembl:lncRNA
CAGAGUUAGACUGAUGAAUACACGAUUGACUGUUUAGCUAACAGAAGUUCCAUUAUCUCUGUUUCAGUCCACCGUACAAGGAUGCGUUCCAGGAGGUGGUCCGGGUGCAGUUGACAAAAGUCAACGUCCGUGGUGUUCUGAGAAUUGAAACAGGAGAUGUGCACAAGCCUCCUUCCUCGGUGUCCUCCCCACCCUGUUCUGGGCGGCUCUCAGAAAUGCUUACUUCUUCUGGAAAACAAUUUCGCACCUCCUGUGAGGUGCAACAGGGAAAGCCUGACCCUUCACCCUGCCCCUGCCGUAACCUCAACCUUGCUCAUGUGGACCACCCUCCAGGCUACGCCUCAUGCAGCCCCGUGAUCACCUCUCCAGUUUGACUGCUGAAUAGUAGAAGAUGAACCUGAAAUGGAAGGGUUAUUGCAGCCCCGUUUUUUUCACGGAAAGGUGAAGGUUACUCAGCUUUUGUCGUUUGUUGCCUUUAAGCUCGUCAGGGCACAGAUGAAAAACAGCGUCGGCAACGGUGGAGUCCGAUUUUGUGCAGACAUGGAAGCGGGUUUGUGAUGGAAGUGAAACAGGAGACAAAUGGGAAAGUAAGAUAUGUAAAAAGACCAAUAACAGAAAGAAAAUUGUAAAAGUCUUAAACAGUAUUUCUUACUCUAUCUGGACCAUUCGUGUGGGUUUUUGAGUUUUUCAGCUUUUCGCAGGAGAAUCGUGAUGACUGAAUCCAAACUAAGAGGGCAGACCGACGCUGCUGGACCCAGUUGUUUAAUUAUCUCCUGCCGAUUCCAGCUUACAGCUGAAGGAAUUUUGUUCAUUCAUUCAACAAACUGUGUUUAGAAAAUUAUUUUUAAUGUUUAUAUUUAAGAGAGCAAGACAGAGCACAAGUGAGGGAGGAGGGGCAGAGAGAGAGGAAGACACAGAAUCCGAAGCAGGCUCCAGGCUCUGAGCCAUCAGCACAGAGCCUGAGGCAGGGCUUGAACUCAUGAGCCGCGAGAUGAUGACCUGAGCUGAAGUCAGACACUUAACUGACUGAGCCUCCCAGGCGCCCCUCAACAAACUAUUGAACUGCACAAUAUUCCGGGUAUUUAGUUUAUUCAUUUAUUUAUACAUUCACUUCCUCUUUUAUUUCCCUAAAUUCUCACCAUGCUAAUUCACAUCAAAGCUGUGAUAGUCCACACGUCUCCAAGUCAUCUCUUAUAUACGUUGCCCUGUUUAAAUUUUUUUUUUCAACGUUUAUUUAUUUUUGGGACAGAGAGAGACAGAGCAUGAACGGGGGAGGGGCAGAGAGAGAGGGAGACACAGAAUCGGAAACAGGCUCCAGGCUCUGAGCCAUCAGCCCAGAGCCUGACGCGGGGCUCAAACUCACGGACUGCGAGAUCGUGACCUGGCUGAAGUCGGACGCUUAACCGACUGCACCACCCAGGCGCCCCAACGUUGCCCUAUUUAACUUAUGACACCACAAAGAGGAGCAAAUGAAAUAAUCUUGAUAAAAGCAUAUGAAAAUACUCUUCAUUUUUUUUUAAAGUUUAUUUAUUUUGAGAGAGCAGGGGCGGAGCAGAGAGAGAGGGAGGGAGAGAAUCCCAAGGAGGCUCCACAUUGUCAGAGCCUAGCCGGAUGCAGGUCUUGAACUCAUAAACCACGAGACUAUAUCCUGAACUGAAAUUAAGAGUUGGAUGUUUGAGCCACCUAGUGGCCUUAAUUUAUUUCAGAAUGUAAUCUGUCUUAGACUUUUGUUGGAAAAGAAAAACAUCAAAGAAGUUAAUUAAUCUUUCUAACUUUAAUAAGAACCUUACAAGUAUUGAAACAACAAAAAACAGGGACUGGGAAUCAAUGUGAGGGUAGAGAUUUUUCUAGUAAGAAAAACUAUAAUGGCUGAACUUAAAAAUGCAAUGAAGUUGGGGCACCUGGGUGGCUCAGUCGGUUGAGCGUCCAACUUCGGCUCAGGUCAUGGUCUCACGGUCCAUGAGUUCAAGCCCCGCGUCAGGCUCUGUGCUGACAGCUCAGAGCCUGGAGCCUGUUUCGGAUUCUGUGUCUCCCUCUCUCUGACCCUCCCCCAUUCAUGCUCUGUCUCUCUCUCUCUCUCUCUCUCUCUCAAAAAUAAACAUUAAAAAAAUGCAAUGAAGUUUAUAAAC